AUGCAGAGGCCAGCUGAAGCCUGCGGGCGGCACUGCUGUUCACGGAGCUGGCUGAGGGAGGGUUUCUGGGCUUUACCAAGAACUGUAUGGAGUCCUGUGACGAUGCAGAGAAGGGGGUGUCCCAAAACUUCAAAGUCCAAACGACGCUUUAGAUUUUCACAGAAACAUUCCAACAGGGACGGUCCGGCCUCAAGUCCGCAGGCGAGGCUCCUGGCAGGGCAGGCAGUGCUGGGGCCUUCGGGGGUGUCUUCACUUCUAGGGGCUCCUCUGACCCAGCACUGCCACGUCCAUGUGCCCCGGCUGCCGUGGGAAAACCUCAGCAGGGCCAUCAAAGGAGGCCAUUGCCUCACAGCCCCCCUUCCCAUGCCUGCUGGGAGCCACACCAGGACCUUCCAUCGGGGGCAUCUGUCCAGGGCCCGUGUGGGGGCUGCGCUGCCAGGACACCCUCAGCAGAGGUGGUGGUGGCGGCAGGGGAGGGGACCUGGCUUCUUCCUUCCCUUCAUCAUCUUUCACGCUUUCUUCCCCUCUGAGCACCUGUCCCCCAGGGUGACCCUGAAGCUCAGAGGCUCCCUGACCCCACAGGACCCUGUUCCUCCCGGUGGGACUGUGGUGAUCAGAGCUUCGUCUCCUCCCCAGGUCCCCCAGGCACAUCUUCCAGAGAGAAGCCCCUGCCACCCUCAUUACAGCUGCCCUUGCCCGGGAACUCUGAGUGUGGCUCUGGGAACCCCACAGGGAUCGCCAUGGUGGGGUCAACAGGGCCUUGGAGACCAACGCUGGCCCUCCCCUUCACAGGUGGGGAAACUGAGCCACGGGGAGUGGUCAAGUGCCUGA
rnacentral:lncRNA from 1 species